rnacentral:rRNA from 1 species
GAUGAACGCUGGCGGCGUGCCUAAUACAUGCAAGUCGAGCGAACAGACGAGGAGCUUGCUCCUCUGACGUUAGCGGCGGACGGGUGAGUAACACGUGGAUAACCUACCUAUAAGACUGGGAUAACUUCGGGAAACCGGAGCUAAUACCGGAUAAUAUAUUGAACCGCAUGGUUCAAUAGUGAAAGACGGUUUUGCUGUCACUUAUAGAUGGAUCCGCGCCGCAUUAGCUAGUUGGUAAGGUAACGGCUUACCAAGGCAACGAUGCGUAGCCGACCUGAGAGGGUGAUCGGCCACACUGGGACUGAGACACGGUCCAAACUCCUACGGGAGGCAGCAGUAGGGAAUCUUCCGCAAUGGACGAAAGCCUGACGGAGCAACGCCGCGUGAAUGAUGAAGGUCUUCGGAUCGUAAGACUCUGUUAUUAGGGAAGAACAAAUGUGUAAGUAACUAUGCACGUCUUGACGGUACCUAGUCAGAAAGCCACGGCUAACUACGUG